rnacentral:rRNA from 1 species
UACGUAGGGUGCGAGCGUUAAUCGGAAUUACUGGGCGUAAAGCGUGCGUAGGCGGUUCUCCAAGUCCGUUGUGAAAGCCCCGGGCUCAACCUGGGAAUGGCAGUGGAAACUAGGGGACUGGAGUCUGGCAGAGGGGGGUGGAAUGCCGCGUGUAGCAGUGAAAUGCGUAGAGAUGCGGCGGAACACCGAUGGCGAAGGCAGCCCCCUGGGCUGAGAUUGACGCUCAGGCACGAAAGCGUGGGGAGCAAACAGG